rnacentral:rRNA from 1 species
GGCUCCUUGAAGAACUUUUAUAGGGAGUCGGACCUGCCCAGUGAUUAAAAUUUAACGGCCGCGGUACCCUGACCGUGCAAAGGUAGCAUAAUCAUUUGCCCUAUAAUUGAGGGCUAGUAUGAAUGGUUUGACAAGAGUAGUACUGUCUCCGUAAAAAUUUUUAGAAUUUAUUUUUUAGGUGAAGAAACCUAAAUUUAAUUAAAAGACAAGAAGACCCUAUCGAGCUUUAAAUACAUUUAUGAAAUAACAAAAAUUAUUUAAUAUUUUUAAUCAUAAAAAAUUUUGGUUGGGGCGACUAAGGAACAAAUAAAGCUUCUUUAUAAAAUUUAGAUUCAUGAAUAAUGAUCCAUUACUUAUAAUGAUUGAAAGAAUUAGUUACCGUAGGGAUAACAGCAUAAUCUUUUUUGAGAGUUCUAAUCGAAAAAAGGGUUUGUGACCUCGAUGUUGGACUAGGAUAUCCUGAAAGAUGCAGAAGUCUUCAAAGGUUGGUCUGUUCGACCAUUAAAAUCCU